GAACGUGUGUGAAGGGCUGGGCGGAACAUUCAAUUUGCCACCCGAUUAUUCAAUUUGCACGCGACAGGCGGAACAUUUGCAUAUGAUAAUAAAAGUAAGGCGGGCCCCAAACAAAAAAUCGAUGGCCAUUCAGGAUUUACCAACCAAAUGGUGUGUAUCUUGUUUAUAUUUUGCUGCAGCUUCCGAUAUAUGGGUAUUUAUGUGUGUUUUUCGUGCUGCAUGAAUGCAUAAAUGCAACAAAAUGUGGCAGUAUUUCAAUGGAAUCCCCUGGCAACGAUAUACUUCAUUUGAUUUAUGUUCCAGUCACACUGCUAACUGGCAAUAGUAAGCAAUCAGAAAUCAACAUUCCGAUGGGAAAAGCAACUGUCGUUGAUAAUAAUAAUCGAGAGAGGCGAAGCCGUAGCGUAACCCUUUUCCCACUUCAUUUGCGUUGGUGUCUGGAACUUAAUAAAAGUUUUUGAUUGAGGUGCAAAUGGAGAGCAAUGUCGGGAUAAAUUCAGCAAUACUUUCCGCAAAUUGGCAAUGGAUUGAGGCAGGGACUAGCCCAAAUGGAGUGCUGACAGAAUUCUGAAGACCUUUGUUUGGCCCCCCCUAAGCACACACAAAAAUAAAGGAUAAAGGAAAAACCAACCAAAUGGCAUUUCAUUUUUCACGUUUUCAUGUUUUUCUGUGCGUUCCCUGUGAAUCCUUUUAUUUUUCUUUCCGGAAAAUGUUAUAAAUUAUGUUUAUGUUUUGGGUAGGGGGUGGGUGUUUUGCGUGUGGCUUAGUCCAAAAAUUAGUUGUCAUUAGAUUUAAUAGUCUGGGCGCACCUUUUUGUGUGUGUAGCUAUUAAUGCGGCAGAGCCAAAUGGACUCGUUGGGCUCAUUAUGUACGAUAAGAUCGGGGAUUACGGGUCGGUCUGACUACGAGCCCAAGUAGUAUUUUUCACACUUUUUGGCCAUAAUGUUCCACUGCUUGCCCAGCGGACACUUUCUUCGACCACCGCGAUGGACUAUUAUCAAAAUCAAUACCACAAUCAGCUGAGAAAGUUUC
rnacentral:lncRNA from 1 species